rnacentral:rRNA from 1 species
GUAUCUUCGGAUAUGAGUAGAGCGGCGGACGGGUGAGUAACGCGUAGGAAUCUACCUAGUAGAAGGGGAUAGCCCGGGGAAACUCGGAUUAAUACCGUAUACCUCCUUUGGGAGAAAGAAGGCCUCUCUUUGAAGCUUUCGCUACUAGAUGAGCCUGCGUAAGAUUAGCUUGUUGGUGAGGUAAAGGCUCACCAAGGCGACGAUCUUUAGCGGGUCUGAGAGGACGAUCCGCCACAUUGGGACUGAGACACGGCCCAGACUCCUACGGGAGGCAGCAGUGGGGAAUAUUGGACAAUGGGCGCAAGCCUGAUCCAGCCAUACCGCGUGUGUGAAGAAGGCCCUAGGGUUGUAAAGCACUUUAAGUCGGGAAGAAAAGUUAUUGGUUAAUACCCAAUGACCGUGACAUUACCUUCAGAAUAAGGACCGGCUAAUUCCGUGCCAGCAGCCGCGGUAAUACGGAAGGUCCAAGCGUUAAUCGGAAUUACCGGGCGUAAAGCGCGCGUAGGUGGUUUAUUAAGUUGGAUGUGAAAUCCCCGGGCUCAACCUGGGAACUGCAUCCAAAACUGAUUCACUAGAGUACGAUAGAGGGAGGUAGAAUUCACAGUGUAGCGGUGGAAUGCGUAGAUAUUGUGAAGAAUACCAAUGGCGAAGGCAGCCUCCCGGAUCUGUACUGACACUAAGGUGCGAAAGCGUGGGUAGCGAACAGGAUUAGAUACCCUGGUAGUCCACGCCGUAAACGAUGUCAACUAGCUGUUGGGAAGCUAUGUUUUUCAGUGGCGCAGCUAACGUAGUAAGUUGACCGCCUGGGGAGUACGGCCGCAAGGCUAAAACUCAAAUGAAUUGACGGGGACCCGCACAAGCGGUGGAGCAUGUGGUUUAAUUCGAUGCAACGCGAAAAACCUUACCUAUACUUGACAUACUUGGAAUGCUUUGUAAUGAAGCAGUGCCUUCGGGAGCCAGGAUACAGGUGCUGCAUGGCUGUCGUCAGCUCGUGUCGUGAGAUGUUCCGUUAAGUCGGAUAACGAGCGCAACCCUUACCCUUAUUUGCC